CAAUAGCGUAUAUUAAAGUUGUUGCAGUUAAAAAGCUCGUAGUUGGAUCUCUGGUGGGAGCGAUCGGUCUGGCGCUUAGCGCGAGUACUUGCAUCGUCUCCGGCCAUCCUUGGGGAGAGUCUGUCUGGCAUUAGGUUGUCGGGCAGAGGAUCCUCAUCGUUUACUGUGAAAAAAUUAGAGUGUUCAAAGCAGGCUUAUGCCGUUGAAUAUAUUAGCAUGGAAUAAUAAGAUAGGACUUUGGUACUAUUUUGUUGGUUUGCGCACCAAAGUAAUGAUUAAUAGGGACAGUUGGGGGUAUUCGUAUUCCGUUGUCAGAGGUGAAAUUCUUGGAUUUACGGAAGACGAACUACUGCGAAAGCAUUUACCAAGGAUGUUUUCAUUAA
rnacentral:rRNA from 1 species